UAAUGUGUCUUGGCUAAGGUGUCUUGGCUAAUGUGUCUUGGCUAAUGUGUCUUGGCUAAGGUGUCUUGGCUAAGGUGUCUUGGCUAAUGUGUCUCGGCUAAUGUGUCUCGGCUAAUGUGUCUUGGCUAAUGUGUCUUGGCUAAUGUGUCUUGGCUAAGGUGUCUUGGCUAAGGUGUCUCGGCUAAUGUGUCUCGGCUAAUGUGUCUUGGCUAAUGUGUCUUGGCUAAGGUGUCUCGGCUAAUGUGUCUCGGCUAAUGUGUCUCGGCUAAUGUGUCUCGGCUAAUGUGU